CUUCACCGAGCCCAGCCACAGCGGCCGCUCCUCGGUGUGUGCCUGGCCGUACGUGGCGAGCAGGGCCUGUGCCUC
rfam:Streptomyces sp. CNQ-509, complete genome.